rnacentral:rRNA from 1 species
ACUCCUACGGGAGGCAGCAGUGGGGAAUCUUGCGCAAUGGGCGAAAGCCUGACGCAGCAACUCCGCGUGGGGAUGAAGGCUCUCGGGUUGUAAACCCCUUUCAGCAGGGACGAAAUUGACGGUACCUGCAGAAGAAGCCCCGUCUAACUACGUGCCAGCAGCCGCGGUAAUG